UAGUACGGCGAGUGAAGAGGGAAGAGCCCAAGAUUGAAAGCUGGCGUCUUCGGCGUCCGCAUUGUAAUCUCAAGAAGUGUUUUCCGCUUCGGACCAAGCCUAAGUCCCCUGGAAAGGGGCAUCAUAGAGGGUGAUAAUCCCGUACAUGGCUUGGAGCGCCCGAGGCUUUGUGAUACGCUUUCUAAGAGUCGAGUUGUUUGGGAAUGCAGCUCAAAAUGGGUGGUAAAUGCCAUCUAAGGCUAAAUAUUGGGGAGAGACCGAUAGCGAACAAGUACAGUGAUGGAAAGAUGAAAAGAACUUUGAAAAGAGAGUUAAACAGUACGUGAAAUUGCCAAAAGGGAAGGGUAGGAGGUCAGAGAUGCGGCCUGGGAUUCAGCCUUGCUUUUGCUUGGUGUUUUUCCCAGAUUGCAGCCCAACGUCGGUCUUGGGCACUGGAGAAGGGUAGGAGGAACGUGGCACCCCUCGGGGUGUGUUAUAGCCUCCUACUGGAUACAGCGACCGAGACCGAGGACAGCAGCGUACUCGCAAGAGCGGGCCUUCGGGCACCUUUACGCUUAGGGCGUUGGCAUAAUGGCCCUCUACCACCCGUCUUG
rnacentral:rRNA from 1 species